CCUACGGGAGGCAGCAGUGAGGAAUAUUGGUCAAUGGGAGGAAUCCUGAACCAGCCAUGCCGCGUGCAGGACGACGGCUCUACGAGUUGUAAACUGCUUUUGUACCGGGGUAAAAUGCCUUACGUGUAGGGUUUUGAAAGUACGGUACGAAUAAGGAUCGGCUAACUCCGUGCCAGCAGCCGCGGUAAUACGGAGGAUCCGAGCGUUAUCCGGAUUCAUUGGGUUUAAAGGGUGCGUAGGUUGUUUUAUAAGUUAGCGGUGAAAUACCGAUGCUCAACAUCGGGGCUGCCGCUAAUACUGUAGGACUAGAGAUCGGAUGCAGCAGGCGGAAUGUGUAGUGUAGCGGUGAAAUGCAUAGAUAUUACACAGAACACCGAUUGCGAAGGCAGCAAUCUGGCUGGAAACUGACGCUGGGGUGCGAAAGCGUGGGGAGCAAACAGGAUUAGAUACCCGAGUAGUC
rnacentral:rRNA from 1 species